GACCGCUUAGCUCAGUUGGUUAGAGCGUUUCAUUGACAUUGAAGAGGUCGGUGGUUCGAGUCCACCAGCGGUCA
rnacentral:tRNA from 1 species